AAAUACAAUUGUACAAGUAAUUACUAGUACAAUUUUUACUGAGAAAAAGAUAAUAACUUGUACAAAUCAUUAUUUUACCUUGGUCUAUUUGAAGUUCUCUCUUUUAACAAAUAAUUUAUUUAACAAAUAUAUGGGUAAAACUUAAGGCAGUUUGAUGUUUUAAGUGUAGCAGGACUUGAAAAAGUUAUUCGCAAAGGAGACGAAAUAAUUCAUUAUUGUACAGUAGAUGAACUUUAUCCUUU
rnacentral:lncRNA from 1 species